UAAUGCUGACUGAAUGGAAAAGUUCAUUUUAGGGUUUAAAACCCUAAUGCUGACUGAAUGGUAAAGUUCAGUUUAGGGUUUAAAACCCUAACGCUGACUAAAUGGAAAAAGUUCAGUUUAGGUUUAAAACCCUAAUGCUGACUAAAGGGAAAAUUCAGUUUAGGGUUUAAAACCCUAAUGCUGACUGAAAGGAAAAAGUUCAGUUUAGGGUUUAAAACCCUAAUGCUGACUAAAGGAAAAAUUUAGUUUAGGGUUUAAAACCUUAAUGCUGAUUGCAUGGAAAAGCUCAGUUUAGGGUUUAAAACCCUAAUGCUGGCUGAAUGAAAAAAGUUUAGUUUAGGGUUUAAAACCCUAACGCUGACUAAAGGAAAAGUUCAGUUUAGGGUUUAGAAUCCUAAUGCUGACUGAAUGGAAAAGUUCAGUUUAGGGUUUUAAAACCCUAAUGCUGACUGAAAGGAAAAAAUCAGUUUAGGGUUUAAAACCCUAAUGCUGACUGAAUGAAAAAGUUCAGUUUAGGGUUUAAAACCCUAAUGCUGACUGAAUGGUAAAGUUCAGUUUAGGGUUUAAAACCCUAACGCUGACUAAAUGGAAAAGUUCAGUUUAGGGUUUAAAACCCUAAUGCUAACUAAAGGGAAAAUUCAGUUUAGGGUUUAAAACCCUAAUGCUGACUGAAAGGAAAAAGUUCAGUUUAGGGUUUAAAACCCUAAUGCUGAUUAAAGGAAAAGUUCAGUUUAGGGUUUAAAACCCUAAUGCUGACUAAAGGGAAAAUUCAGUUUAGGGUUUUAAAACCCUAAUGCUGAUUGCAUGGAAAAGCUCAGUUUAGGGUUUAAAACCCUAAUGCUGGCUGAAUGGAAAAAAGUUCAGUUUAGGGUUUAAAACCCUAAUGCUGACUAAAGGAAAAGUUCAGUUUAGGGUUUAGAAUCCUAAUGCUGACUGAAUGGAAAAGUUCAGUUUAGGGUUUUAAAACCCUAAUGCUGACUGAAAGGAAAAAUUCAGUUUAGGGUUUAAACCCUAAUGCUGACUGAAUGAAAAAGUUCAGUUUAGGGUUUAAAACCCUAAUGCUGACUGAAAGGAAAAGUUCUAUUUAGGGUUUAAAACCCUAAUGCUGACUGGAAGGAAAGAGUGCAGUAUAGGGUUUAAAACCCUAAUGCUGACUGGAAGAAAAGUUCAGUUUAGGGUUUAAAACCCUAAUGCUGACGAAAUGGAAAGAGUUCAGUUUAGGGUUUAAAACCCUAAUGCUGACUGAAUGGAAAGAGUUCAGCUUAGGGUUUAAACCCCUAAUGCUGACCGGCUGGAAAAGUUCAGUUUAGGGUUUAAAACCCUAAUGCUGACUAAAAGGAAAAAUUCAGUUUAGGGUUCAAAACCCUAAUGCUGAUUAAAUGGAAAAGUUCAGUUUAGGGUUUAAAACCCUAAUGCUGACUGAAAGGAAAAGUUCAGUUUAGGGUUUAAAACCCUAAUGUAGACAUGGCUGGAAAAGUUCAGUUUAGGGUUUAAAACCCUAAUGCUGACUAAAAGGAAAAAUUCAAUUUAGGGUUUAAAACCCUAAUGCUGGAUGGCUGGAAAAGUUCAGUUUAGGGUUUAAAACCCUAAUGCUGACAUGACUGGAAAAAUUCAGUUUAGGGUUUAAAACCCUAAUGCUGACUAAAAGGAAAAAUUCAGUUUAGGGUUUAAAACCCUAAUGCUGGCUGACUGGAAAAGUUCAGUUUAGGGUUUAAAACCCUAAUGCUGACUAAAAGGAAAAAUUCAGUUUAGGGUUUAAAACCCUAAUGCUGACUAAAUGAAAAAAGUUCAGUUUAGGGUUUAAAACCCUAAUGCUGACUAAAGGAAAAAGUUCAGUUUAU
rnacentral:lncRNA from 1 species